rnacentral:rRNA from 1 species
UACGUAGGGUGCAAGCGUUGUCCGGAAUUAUUGGGCGUAAAGAGCGUGUAGGCGGCUUACCAAGUCGAUUGUGAAAGCCCUCGGCUCAACCGGGGAAGUGCAGUCGAAACUGGUAGGCUCGAGAACGGUAGAGGAAGGUGGAAUUCCUAGUGUAGAGGUGAAAUUCGUAGAUAUUAGGAGGAAUACCUGUGGCGAAGGCGGGUCUCUGGGCCGAUACUGACGCUGAGGAGCGAAAGCGUGGGGAGCGAACAGG